rnacentral:rRNA from 1 species
UACGAAGGGGGCUAGCGUUGCUCGGAAUUACUGGGCGUAAAGGUCGCGUAGGCGGCUCAUACAGUCAGAUGUGAAAUUCCUGGGCUUAACCUGGGGGCUGCAUUUGAUACGUGUGGGCUUGAGUGGGGAAGAGGGUCGUGGAAUUCCCAGUGUAGAGGUGAAAUUCGUAGAUAUUGGGAAGAACACCGGUGGCGAAGGCGGCGACCUGGUCCUUGACUGACGCUGAGGCGCGAAAGCGUGGGGAGCAAACAGG